UUUCUCUUCAUGUGUCUCAACAGCUCUGUUCCUGUUCCCUCACCAGCUGGCAGCCCCGUGGGUGGGCUGAUUUCCCUGGACUGGGGGACAGAGCCAGGCUCUGAGGUAAAGCAGCCAAUUUCCCUGGCAUGUUCGUCCCCUUCCUCUCUUCCUAAAUUAGGAAGAUGAGUGUGAGUCAUCAUCUAAGCUGGGGUCAGUCUCAGAGGAAGGGGCUUCUUUCUGUAGGGAAAAGAAAUGGAGGCAAAAAAAAAAGAAA